GAGUUUAGGAUCCUGUCUUUAGAGUAUUUUGCUGUGUAAUUUCUAAUGUACUGGUCAAGUAGCUCAACUUAUUUUACAGCAUUUUCAGCUUCAAACAUGUGCUACCUGACUAGAUGGAAUUCCUUGAGAACUGUAUUAACAUGUUUCAAAGAGUUGAAUUAACAGAUGGAGUUUCGCUCUUGUUGCCCAGGCUGGAGUGCAAUGCUGCGAUCUCGACUCACCGUAACCUCCGCUUCUGGGGUUCAAGUGAUUCUCCUGCCUCAGCCUCCCAAGUAGCUAGAAUUACAGGUAUGAGCCACCACACGCCCGGCCAGUAUUGUGAGUUUUAAAGAAUGCAUUUUAAUAUGUUUCACUUUUUAAAGCUCCUAAGUGGUUUUGUUGCUAAUUUUUUUAAAUUUUGUUUUGUGAAGAGAUUGGUAACAUAAAUUGUAAAGCAGAAAUUAAUUCACCUAGCUUUCCUCAUCACAGUUUAAGACGGAUAUUUGUGUUCUGGUUUGCUUAUUUGUUUUUCCGGGUCCACACAUUCACUCAUAUGUGUUUAGAUUUUUCAUGUGGAAGGCAGUGAUAUAAUUUCAGGCCUAUAUGUUUUGACCCUCUGUUCACACAUGGUUGUUAUAUGCCCUGACAUUGUGUUUACUUCACAUUUCCUAUUUUUCCACUGUAUAUCUGAGGAUAUUUCAUGCUAUUUUGUUACCUAAAGAGAGGCUACUGCUACAUGGGGAGACAUAUAUACAUAUAUGUAGGAGUACACCUAUGUGUGCAUGUGUGUGUAUUUAUAAAUCUCUCUCCAUGUAGCAGUACACAUAUAUAUAUGUAUAUAUAAUUUGUUUUUAUGAGAAGGA
rnacentral:lncRNA from 10 species